UACGUAGGGUGCAAGCGUUGUCCGGAAUUAUUGGGCGUAAAGAGCUCGUAGGCGGUUUGUCGCGUCUGCUGUGAAAACCCGAGGCUCAACCUCGGGCCUGCAGUGGGUACGGGCAGACUAGAGUGCGGUAGGGGAGAUUGGAAUUCCUGGUGUAGCGGUGGAAUGCGCAGAUAUCAGGAGGAACACCAAUGGCGAAGGCAGAUCUCUGGGCCGUAACUGACGCUGAGGUGCGAAAGCCAGGGGAGCGAACGGG
rnacentral:rRNA from 1 species